rnacentral:tRNA from 1 species
GCGCGGUGGUGGCGUUCCCGGAGGGCACCACCUGGUGCGGCCGGGCCAGCGGACCGCUGCGGCCGGCGCUGUUCCAGGCGGCGCUGCGCGUG